GGCAAGAUGGCCGAGUGGUCUAAGGCGCUGCACUCAAGUUGCAGUCUCGAAAGAGGCGUGGGUUCGAGUCCCACUCUUGUCA